rnacentral:rRNA from 1 species
AUGAGGCGGCCGUGGAGGCAUGGGGUUGUGCCCAGCGGCGGCUGCUUCCUGCAGUGCGUCCGCCCGGGGUUUUGGCUGCGCGUGAGCUUCACCACCCACCCCCUUCCCCAGCAGGGGCGGCUUUGGCCCGGCGGCAGUGGACUUGCACUCCUUCCUGCGUCCAUGGUCGGCCGUCGUGGCUGCGGAUCCGGCGCGCCACGGUGGUUGCGCUCUUUCCGGCACCUUUGGCUCGUUGGUUCCUCGGAAUCUCCGCACCAUCACCGUGCUGGUGUCCUUGGUUGGCCGUCCAUCCCGGCGCAUCUUUGCUCUCGGCCUGCUUCGGGAGCUGCGUCCUCUUCCAGCUCCUUGGAUUUGCCUGUGCUCUGCUACUCCGGUCCCGGUGGCCUUGAUCUGCGCUCUUUCCAGAUCCUAGCUUGUCCGGGGCUGCGGCCACCGUCACAUCCUACCGCCAUUCACUCCGCUCAGCCAUGCAUCCUUACCCUCCUCCAGAGCGGCGCCCGGUGCCUCCUUCGGCGUCGGGCAUGGCUCCCCUUCCUAUAG